UACGUAGGGUGCGAGCGUUAAUCGGAAUUACUGGGCGUAAAGCGUGCGCAGGCGGUUGUGCAAGUCAGAUGUGAAAUCCCCGGGCUUAACCUGGGAACUGCAUUUGUGACUGCACAGCUGGAGUGCGGAAGAGGGGGAUGGAAUUCCGCGUGUAGCAGUGAAAUGCGUAGAUAUGCGGAGGAACACCGAUGGCGAAGGCAAUCCCCUGGGCCUGCACUGACGCUCAUGCACGAAAGCGUGGGGAGCAAACAGG
rnacentral:rRNA from 1 species